GACGAACGCUGGCGGCGUGCUUAACACAUGCAAGUCGAACGGAAAGGCCCUGCUUUUGUGGGUUGCUCGAGUGUCGAACGGGUGAGUAACACUUGAGUAACCUGCCCUUGACUUUGGGAUAACUUCAGGAAACUGGGGCUAAUACCGGAUAGGAGCUCCUGCUGCAUGGUGGGGGUUGGAAAGUUUCGGCGGUUGGGGAUGGACUCGCGGCUUAUCAGCUUGUUGGUGGGGUAGUGGCUUACCAAGGCUUUGACGGGUAGCCGGCCUGAGAGGGUGACCGGCCACAUUGGGACUGAGAUACGGCCCAGACGCCGACGGGAGGCAGCAGUGGGGAAUAGUGCACAAUGGGCGGAAGCCUGAUGCAGCAACGCCGCGUGCGGGAUGACGGCCUUCGGGUUGUAAACCGCUUUCGCCUGGGACGAAGCGUGAGUGACGGUAAUGGGUAAAGAAGCACCGGCUAACUACGUG
rnacentral:rRNA from 1 species